GACGAACGCUGGCGGCGUGCCUAAUACAUGCAAGUCGAGCGAAGUUUUUCUGGUGCUUGCACUAGAAAAACUUAGCGGCGAACGGGUGAGUAACACGUAAAGAACCUGCCUCAUAGACUGGGACAACUAUUGGAAACGAUAGCUAAUACCGGAUAGCAGUAUUUCUCGCAUGAGAGAUAUUUAAAAGUUGGUUAUGCUAACACUAUGAGAUGGCUUUGCGGUGCAUUAGCUAGUUGGUGGGGUAAAGGCCCACCAAGGCGACGAUGCAUAGCCGACCUGAGAGGGUGAUCGGCCACACUGGGACUGAGACACGGCCCAGACUCCUACGGGAGGCAGCAGUAGGGAAUCUUCCGCAAUGGGCGAAAGCCUGACGGAGCAACGCCGCGUGAGUGAAGAAGGAUUUCGGUUCGUAAAGCUCUGUUGUUAGGGAAGAAUGGAUAUGUAGUAACUAUACAUGUAAGAGACGGUACCUAAACAGAAAGCCACGGCUAACUACGUG
rnacentral:rRNA from 1 species